AGAGUUUGAUCCUGGCUCAGGAUGAACGCUGGCGGCGUGCUUAACACAUGCAAGUCGAACGAAGACAUCUGAGUGCUUGCACUUGGAUGGACUGAGUGGCGGACGGGUGAGUAACGCGUGGGUAACCUGCCUCAUACAGGGGGAUAACAGUUAGAAAUGACUGCUAAUACCGCAUAAGACCACAGCACCGCAUGGUGCAGGGGUAAAAACUCCGGUGGUAUGAGAUGGACCCGCGUCUGAUUAGGUAGUUGGUGGGGUAACGGCCUACCAAGCCGACGAUCAGUAGCCGACCUGAGAGGGUGACCGGCCACAUUGGGACUGAGACACGGCCCAAACUCCUACGGGAGGCAGCA
rnacentral:rRNA from 1 species